rnacentral:lncRNA from 1 species
GUAAUCUAUUUCCUUCUACCAAUCCUCUCACUAAUAUAUUCAUAUAAUCAUUUGAAAGCCCAGAUAUAGGUAAUUCACUGACCUAAAUUGAUCAAUCUCUGAACAUGAGCACCUAUUUGGUUUAAAGUUGAAUACAUAUCAUAUGUAGGGCAAGCACUUCAUUAAGUUAAUUAUAAAAAUCAACAUGCAGAAAAUAAAU